rnacentral:rRNA from 1 species
UACGAAGGGGGCUAGCGUUGCUCGGAAUUACUGGGCGUAAAGCGCACGUAGGCGGAUUGUUAAGUCGGGGGUGAAAUCCUGGAGCUCAACUCCAGAACUGCCUUUGAUACUGGCGACCUUGAGUCCGGGAGAGGUGAGUGGAACUGCGAGUGUAGAGGUGAAAUUCGUAGAUAUUCGCAAGAACACCAGUGGCGAAGGCGGCUCACUGGCCCGGUACUGACGCUGAGGUGCGAAAGCGUGGGGAGCAAACAGG